UUUUCCUACGGGGGGCAGCAGUGGGGAAUAUUGGACAAUGGGGGGAACCCUGAUCCAGCGACGCCGCGUGAGUGAAGAAGUAUUUCGGUAUGUAAAGCUCUAUCAGCAGGGAAGAAAGAAAUGACGGUACCUGACUAAGAAGCCCCGGCUAACUACGUGCCAGCAGCCGCGGUAAUACGUAGGGGGCAAGCGUUAUCCGGAAUUACUGGGUGUAAAGGGAGCGUAGACGGUGAUGCAAGUCUGGAGUGAAAGGCGGGGGCCCAACCCCCGGACUGCUCUGGAAACUGUAUGACUUGAGUGCAGGG
rnacentral:rRNA from 1 species